rnacentral:snRNA from 1 species
UUUCAUUCCUUAACAUAUUCUAGAAUUGGAACAACACGGAGUAGAUUAGCAACUCCCUAUACAAAGAUAACACACAAGCUCGUGAACCACUCCAAAAUUUA